rnacentral:lncRNA from 1 species
UCAAUUUCAAAACAAAAGAGAGAGAGACAACCCUUCAGCUUGAUAUGCCCCCCAUUUCUUCUUGUCAUCUUCAACCUUGAGCUAUAGGCAUGUGAUCUUUCAGUGUGUGGUCUUCCAUUGAUUAAGGUCAAAUCGAUGGUGCUAUAUUAUCAACUUAUUUGUUUGCUCUUGUUAAAUUUCUAUUUCCUCAUCAUUUGGAACAUCUUAGCUUGCUGUAAUUUCUGAUUUACAAUAUCUUCUUGCCUCUUUGAUCCUUCUUUUAGUUGAUCAUUAAAAGCUUCAAGUUCAUAGUGUGAUCUACACCUUAAGCAUAUGUUGUGUGGUAUGAGUUAUUAUCAAUCUAGACCUCAUCUUGCCCAUUUCUUUUGAUCCGAAUUUUCUCUUACUUCCAUUGAGAUUAAACUUAUGAUAAGAGAAUAAUUUCAUGUUAUUUGAGUAAUAGAAAUGGGUUUGUGACCCCUUUUUGCAUAAAAGAAAAGUUCGGGUAGUCCCGUUGGACUACAUUGUGUAGUACUCUCAUAUCUUGCUAGUUUUGAGUUGUCAAUCACCCAUACAUUGAAAAACUGAUGUCAUGAUAAUCUCUCUUAUAAAUUGUACCUUAUUUAGUGAUUUUAAAGUGAAUAUAUGCUUCUCAUGUGAAGUGAUCUCCUUGAGUUAUAAAAUCGCCUGUGCUCUAGACUAUGGGAUAACAUUAAGUCCCUAAAAGGUCCGAAUUAUGACCCGAGCGUAAAGGGUUCGACCUACAUAUUCCCAAAUGUUUGUUGCAUGAUUAUUUUUCAUAAUCUGCUUAUAUUUAAUUUUUUGUGCUAUGGAGUAAUUGAGCAUACCAUAGAUGUAAGUUACUUGUUCUUAUGUUCACAUAGUCCAUGCUUUAAUGGCAUAAUGAAUUAUUGGCUAUAUAUCAUGCAUGAUGUAUUUAAGUUUGGCUCAUCAUGAUCACUUUUGUUUUAUAUGUGAAUCUUGUAUUUAUGGUGAGGAUGAAGGUUAGAAAGAAGUGGUAAUUUUAUUCCCAUUCGAUGAGGAAUUUUGAGUGUACAUCUUAUAUUGUGUUGUAAAUGGGAGUAUUUGUGCAUUUGAGAAUUGUGUUGUAUUUUGUAUUUUGAUUUUGGGAAUUGUAGAGGGACCAUAUGGAGUUGUAAUUUUAAUUUCAAAGUAUUGUAUAAGUCAAGUUUAGCAAAUGUGUUUUGAACAUUAAUGUUGAAAUUCGUAAAGGAUUUGUUCAAUUUGAAAAGCUCAUGUUUCAAAAUAAGGAAAUUUUAAAUUGGAUUCCUAAUACUUGGUCUUAUACCACCAACACUAACCACAUAAAACAUUGCAACAUUGAAGGCUCCGACAAAAUCUAUAAACUUCUCGAGGUACCCUUAACAUCUAUACCCACAUAACAAACUGACAAAUUAUCCCAAAUUUCCCUAAAUACAGAUACAUUAGGAAUUGGUAACAUGGUUUCUUAUAAAAUAAAAAACAAUAGGUCUGAUCUUUUUAACGAGUAAGAAAGCAUCCCUUUUAUGACUCACAUCAUCCAGACCCCUAAUAUUCCAAAUAAUAAUAUUCAUAUGGAAAACGAAGAAGAACCUGGAUCGAUCGCACUUGGCCCAUCAGCGCCAUGUUACCCUAUAAAUAGCAAAGUCAAUGAAGAACUGGAGGAACUACUAUAUUCUACAUUGAUGGUAAUCAUUUAUCAUUUGCAAAUGACCACUCCACCCCCAAUCAUUCUUCUCUCUGCAAUUCUUGUUGAUAACCUCGACAGAGCCUUAGAGACCUCAGCCUUGCAUUUUCCUUUCAUUUCACAAAAUUGAUUUCAUAAAUGUUAUUUCCACUUAGGAUUCAUUCACAUGUUUGAAGAAACCAUGCGGUGUGGUCCCAUUGGUACUAGUAUGUGAAGAGCAUAAGAUGUUUAAAUUUGAUUGGCGUGUUGUCAUAAGAUCUUUUCCCACAUAUGUGGUUGUUCCUUUUUACCAAACUGACAUUGCCCUUGUCCUUAAAGUGAGCUAAUGAUUUUAUUUAAAACCAUGGGCGAAGGACAACUAUGGACCCAAUUGGAUUUAAUCCAUGGGACGUAGACUAAAGUGUAAAAUGAACCUAAGGAUUUAGGGAGUGAUAUUGGUGUUAAGUAUCAUCUUUACAUCUUGAUAAUUAGAUGGGGAUGAGUGGCUAGUAUUAGAGUCUCUCAUGUACCAUAGAUCUAAGGGCAUCAAGGGUUAAGAUCACUUCUCCCACUAUGAUCGAAUAUGAAUAUCACUGGACGUUCAUUUAAGCCCUAAUUCUAUCACUUCAAUUUCAAAGCAAAAGAGAGAGAGACAACCAUUGAGCUUGAUAUGCCCCCCAUUUCUUCUUGUCAUCUUCAACCUUGAGCUAUAGGCUUGUGAUCUUUCAGGGUGUGGUCUUCCAUUGAUUAAGGUCAAAUCGAUGGUGCUAUAUUAUCAACUUAUUUGUUUGCUCUUGUUAUUUGUUUGCUCAUGUUAAAUUUCCUCAUCAUUUGGAACAUCUUAGCUUGCUGUAAUUUCUGAUGUACAAUAUCUUCUUGCCUCUUUGAUCCUUCUUUUAGUUGAUCAUUAAAAGCUUCAAGUUAAUAGUGUGGUCUACACCUUAAGCAUAUGUUGUGUGGUAUGAGUUAUUAUCAAUUUAGACCUCAUCUUGGCCAUUUCUUUUGAUCCGAAUUUUCUCUUACUUCCAUUGAGAUUAAACUUAUGAUAAGACAAUAAUUUCAUGUUAUUUGAGUAAUAGAAAUGGGUUUGUGACCCCUUUUUGCAUAAGAGAAAAGGUCGGGUAGUCCCGUUGGACUACAUUGUGUAGUACUCUCAUAUCUUGCUAGUUUUGAGUUGUCAAUCACCCAUACAUUGAAAAACUGAUGUCAUGAUAAUUUCUCUUAUAAAUUGUACCUUAUUUAGUGAUUUUAAAGUGAAUAUAUGCUUCUCAUGUGAAGUGAUCUCCUUGAGUUAUAAAAUCGACUGUGCUCUAGACUAUGGGAUAACAUUAAGUCCCUAAAAGGUCCGAAUUAUGACCAGGGCGUAAAGGGUUCGACCUACAUAUUCCCAAAUGUUUGUUGCAUGACUAUUUGUCAUAAUCUGCUUAUAUUUAAUGUUUUGUGCUAUGGAGUAAUUGAGCAUACCAUAGAUGUAAGUUACUUGUUCUUAUGUUCACAUAGUCCAUGCUUUAAUGGCAUAAUGAAUUAUUGGCUAUAUAUCAUGCCUGUUGUAUUUACGUUUGGCUCAUCAUGAUCAAUUUUGUUUUAUAUGAAAUCUUGUAUUUAUGGUGAGGAUGAAGGUUAGAAAGAAGUGGUAAUUUUAUUCCCAUUCGAUGAGGAAUUUUGAGUGUCCACCUUAUAUUUUGUUUUAAAUGGGAGUAUUCGUGCAUUUGAGAAUUGUGUUGUAUUUUGUAUUUUGAUUUUGGGACUUGUAAAGGGACCAUAUGGAGUUGUAAUUUUAAUUUCAAAGUAUUGUGUAAGUCAAGUUUAUUGAAUGUGUUUUGAACA